GCAGCUCGAUGGCUUCGUAUUCUUUAGUCCUCGCGUAGCUUUCUUUCUCUUCACCCCCUCUCUGCAUCCACUCAUAUCCGCCGGCUGCUUCCGUCCACUAGAUCCGUUGCUAGCCAUAGAGAGAGGGGUGGCCCUGUGGAGGACACGCAGCACGGAGAAAGCAGCUAUGAGCGGCAAGCACCCCAACUCCAUCCGCCAGCUGUGGACUCUCCUCAUGCGCCAAGCCGGCCACAAGCACAGGCAAGGCCUUCCGUUCCCCAGCUGCAUCAUCCGAGGGCACAGGCGAGAGUGAUGAUUUCUCUACAUACAUCCACAAGCAAGCUCUCCGAUUUGUCAAUCUUCCUGCAAAUAAAUCAAUUGUUAAGGUUGCCUUGGAUUCUGGAACCGAUACAAAUGUAACAGUGGAUAGUGGAUAGUGAAAGGGCGCUACAUAUGUAUCCAUUUCUCAGUGAAAAAAAAUUUAACUACUUUGGUUGGCUCCUAAAGCAAUCAUGACAACUCCAUCUUUUUCCUCUUCGGGCUACUAUUUCUUAUUCUAAAAUUGCAGGAGUGCGGUCAUUAUACCAGCUUUUUAUUCGUACCUCACAAAUUCUGCCUGCAUGUAGUUUACUUUGUUUUAGAUCACUAUUACGAGGGCUCCUAUUUUUACUUAUAUUUGAGCUACAUCAUUUUACUGUUUAUCUGUGCCUCAGUUUUUAGAGAGUACCUUUUAAGGUAUUAAUCCCAUGUAGAGCAUACUUUAAUAUUUAGGAGCUACGAACUCAUGUGUUAUUAUAUUCCUGAAGUCAUGAUAAAAGUUUCCUGAUAAGCUUUGUUUCAAAGAAUGCAGACGCUCCUGAUAAUCUAAUUUGUUAGUUCUUCCAUGCUUUAUGUUGCUCUGUGUCCCUGUGCUGCUACCGUUCAAAAACUACAAAUCUAAUAAACUAUGGCAAUUGGGUAUCUUCCUUUGGAAGGCAUCCAUGGUUUACUUCUAUCCUUUCUUCACUGCAUUAGGUUGUUGGCAUGUCUGUUGACGGCAUUAUCAGAUUACCUAAGGUUUUUUGUAAGUUGAACAAAAAGGUAUAAUUUCUACUUGGUUUCUAGACUCUAAUGACUAUUUUUUUAUAUUACUGCAGUGAGCUUUGGAAUGAAGAAUCUGAUGGGCUUUUAAAGCUCCCGGCUGAUGAGGCACUAUUGUCAGAGCUUGAAUUUACGGCAUCCCAUGAAUUGAAUUACAACAUUUCCUUAAAUUUUUUUGAUGGGUGUUCACUUCUUCAUUUGUUUAUUUGUCUAUACAGUUCACUUCUUCGUUUGUUUGUCUAUACCUCUGUAUAUACCAUGUGUGCAUUGCUCAGGUUUGUGACAUUGUAAUUAUAUUGUAAUUCUACAUGGGCACAGACAUGCGGUACUAUAUGUUUGUGGAAUGAAAAUUUUGCUGCUACACGUUUUGUCA